rfam:Cyberlindnera jadinii strain CBS1600 genome assembly, contig: CJ1
GGUUUCUCUGAUACGAACGCGUUCUAUUCACUGCACCAUCAAAGUCUUUGGCUUAACAUUGAUGAUUGGAGGGGAAAAGAAUGCCAGAGAAACGCAUAUCGAUAGCGCACCUCAUACUGAGCUUUUGUUUGGUAGUUUCCUCCGUGGGAAUGCCCUAGCAACUCUUGGUAACUACGCUGUCGAUACAUUC